CGCACCAGCAGUCAGGGGCUUCUCCGAGCUUCUCGCUCACAACCAAUCACGUUCUUCUGGAGGUCACUAGUUCUUAAUUGAUUUCAGCUGCGUCUCCCCCGCCUCUCCUCAUAAAGCGCCCCCACCGUAAGAUGUUAAUCGUUUAUUUUGCGUUGGAUUGCGUGGGUUGAACAAUCCGGACAUCGUGGCCACCGACGUGGACCCCCUGCCACCGGGACCCACGCAAUCGCGCCCUUUAGACACGCCCCUUGGAAAUUGAACAACGCACUUCAACGCAGAGGAUCCAGAAGGAUUUCACAACGAGUCCAUUGGAAGAUAUCGAGGAACAUGAACAUCACCAAUGAAGGAGAGUAACGUUUCCACUUGCUAUAGGAAUUUAGUGAAGCACUAAAUAGUUAAUAAUAAUAAUGAUAAAAUGUGGUCACCAUUUAUUGACUUUUUGGAUAAGACUUGCUUUACUAAUAUAACCGCGUUAAAACCGCAUUCAUUUACUUUUCUUGUGUAGUUUCCCACUAUUCAUUAAAUGUUUUAUAGAAGUAAAAAAGUAAUCAAUAGAACUAUACACAUUU